GACGAACGCUGGCGGCGUGCUUAACACAUGCAAGUCGAACGGAAAGGCCCUGCUUGCAGGGUACUCGAGUGGCGAACGGGUGAGUAACACGUGGGUGAUCUGCCCUGCACUUCGGGAUAAGCUUGGGAAACUGGGUCUAAUACCGGAUAGGAGCCAUCUUUAGUGUGGUGGUUGGAAAGUUUUUUCGGUGUAGGAUGAGCUCGCGGCCUAUCAGCUUGUUGGUGGGGUAAUGGCCUACCAAGGCGGCGACGGGUAGCCGGCCUGAGAGGGUGUACGGCCACAUUGGGACGGAGAUACGGCCCAGACUCCUACGGGAGGCAGCAGUGGGGAAUAUUGCACAAUGGGCGCAAGCCUGAUGCAGCGACGCCGCGUGGGGGAUGAAGGCCUUCGGGUUGUAAACUCCUUUCGCUAGGGACGAAGCUUUUUUGUGACGGUACCUAGAUAAGAAGCACCGGCUAACUACGUG
rnacentral:rRNA from 1 species